rnacentral:rRNA from 1 species
CACCGCGGUUAUACGAGAGGCCCAAAUUGAUAGGCACCGGCGUAAAGGGUGGUUAUGAUCUUACUUAAAAUAAAGUCAAAUGUCUUCAAGGCUGUUAUACGCACCCGAAGAUAAGAAGCUCAGCUACGAAAGUGACUUUAAGAAUUCUGACCCCACGAAAGCUGUGACA